AAAAAUGGGACACUUGAAAGGAAAUCAAAACUAUUUUCUAGAAGUCUCUCCAAUACUAGUAAAAAGAGAAACUUGCGAAAGAGGACACCCAAAAACGAAACCCCUCAAAUUAUUUUGAGGGUACAUUCAACGCAAAAUUAAGAAGGUGGGAUUUUGAAAGAUGGGAAUAGUGAAGAGUUGCUUUUCAUUCAUGGUGGGAACAAUUUGUGGUGUUUAUAUCGCCCAAAAUUACAAAGUUCCUGAUGUUCAGAAACUCGCUUCUACCGCUUUGUUUAUGGGUCGUCUCAUUGAGGAAAAUUAUCGUAAGCCAAAAAAACCUGAUGAAGAUUGAUCUUCUGUGAAUGGAGAAACAAGUUUUUUUUGAUGAUCUAAAUCUAACACUUUGGCCUUAUUAUUCAUAGGCGUGCACUAUCAUGCAUUUAGUGUUCUACCUGUGUGGUAUGCGUGUUUCGAAAACCUGCGUUUUUGGCCCAAGCGCGGCCCAGGCUCGUUUAACAUGGUAUCAUAGGCCAAGUUGGGUUUGGAUUGAUCUGGGCCAUGAUUACAGGGAGUGUUGGGAUGUGUAUUCCACAUUGAAGAAAUACAUACAUGAGUUGUGUCCACUUUAUAAGGAUAAGAGAAUACUUCUAUUAUUACCAUAUGUUUUUUUUGGUGAACCUCCUUGGUCUUGUAAAGUGAAUUUGCACUCCUCCAUGACUAACAUGGCCCAAAUUCGUUUACCAAUUAUACUUCAUUGUCCGAAUUGUUAGUACUAGCUUGCGAAACUUAAU